UACGGAGGGUGCAAGCGUUAUCCGGAUUUACUGGGUUUAAAGGGUGCGUAGGCGGGUUGAUAAGUCAGGGGUGAAACCUCCGAGCUUAACUCGGAAACUGCCUUUGAUACUAUCAGUCUUGAAUUCAGUUGAGGUGGGCGGAAUGUGUCGUGUAGCGGUGAAAUGCUUAGAUAUGACACAGAACACCAAUUGCGAAGGCAGCUCGCUAAACUGACAUUGACGCUGAGGCACGAAGCGUGGGAGC
rnacentral:rRNA from 1 species